rnacentral:rRNA from 1 species
GAUGAACGCUGGCGGCGUGCCUAAUACAUGCAAGUCGAGCGAACGGACGAGAAGCUUGCUUCUCUGAUGUUAGCGGCGGCCGGGUGAGUAACACGUGGAUAACCUACCUAUAAGACUGGGAUAACUUCGGGAAACCGUAGCUAAUACCGGUUAAUAUUUUGAACCGCAUGGUUCAAAAGUGAAAGACGGUCUUGCUGUCACUUAUAGAUGGAUCCGCGCUGCAUUAGCUAGUUGGUAAGGUAACGGCUUACCAAGGCAACGAUGCAUAGCCGACCGGAGAGGGUGAUGGGCCACACUGGAACUGAGACACGGUCCAGACUCCUACGGGAGGCAGCAGUAGGGAAUCUUCCGCAAUGGGCGAAAGCCUGACGGAGCAACGCCGCGUGAGUGAUGAAGGUCUUCGGAUCGUAAAACUCUGUUAUUAGGGAAGAACAUAUGUGUAAGUAACUGUGCACAUCUUGACGGUACCUAAUCAGAAAGCCACGGCUAACUACGUG